rnacentral:rRNA from 1 species
GAACUUUCCAGAGAUGGAUUGGUGCCUUCGGGAACUGUGAGACAGGUGCUGCAUGGCUGUCGUCAGCUCGUGUUGUGAAAUGUUGGGUUAAGUCCCGCAACGAGCGCAACCCUUAUCCUUUGUUGCCAGCGGUUAGGCCGGGAACUCAAAGGAGACUGCCAGUGAUAAACUGGAGGAAGGUGGGGAUGACGUCAAGUCAUCAUGGCCCUUACGACCAGGGCUACACACGUGCUACAAUGGCGCAUACAAAGAGAAGCGACCUCGCGAGAGCAAGCGGACCUCAUAAAGUGCGUCGUAGUCCGGAUUGGAGUCUGCAACUCGACUCCAUGAAGUCGGAAUCGCUAGUAAUCGUGGAUCAGAAUGCCACGGUGAAUACGUUCCCGGGCCUUGUACACACCGCCCGUCACACCAUGGGAGUGGGUUGCAAAAGAAGUAGGUAGCUUAACCUUCGGGAGGGCGCUUACCACUUUGUGAUUCAUGACUGGGGUGAAGUCGUAACAAGGUAACCGUAGGGGAACCUGCGGUUGGAUCACCUCCUUACCUGAAAGAA